rnacentral:tRNA from 1 species
GCCAGUGUGGUGUAGUGGUCUGAGUAUUGGACUAUGACUCUGGAGACCAGGGUUUGAAUCCCUGCUCAGUCA